rnacentral:rRNA from 1 species
AAGCGGAGGAAAAGAAACUAACAAGGAUUCCCCUAGUAACGGCGAGUGAACCGGGAUGAGCUCAAAUUUGAAAUCUGGCGUCCUCAGGGCGUCCGAGUUGUAAUCUAUAGAGGCGUUUUCCGUGCCGGACCGUGUCCAAGUCCCUUGGAACAGGGUAUCAAAGAGGGUGACAAUCCCGUACUUGACACGACGACCGGUGCUCUGUGAUACGUCUUCUACGAGUCGAGUUGUUUGGGAAUGCAGCUCAAAAUGGGUGGUGAGUUCCAUCUAAAGCUAAAUAUUGGCGAGAGACCGAUAGCGAACAAGUACCGUGAGGGAAAGAUGAAAAGCACUUUGGAAAGAGAGUUAAACAGUACGUGAAAUUGUUGAAAGGGAAACGAUUGAAGUCAGUCGUGACUGUUGGGCUCAGCAGGUUCUGCCUGUGUAUUCCCCUCAGUCGGGUCAACAUCAGUUUUGACCGGUGGAUAAGGGCAGCAGGAAUGUGGCACCUCCGGGUGUGUUAUAGCCUGUCGUCGCAUACAUCGGUCGAGACUGAGGAACGCAGCUCGCCCUUGAGGCCGGGGUUCGCCCACGUCCGAGCUUAGGAUGUUGACAUAAUGGCUUUAAACGACCCGUCUUGA